rnacentral:lncRNA from 1 species
AAAAUUGUUCAGAAUUCUUGAUAAAUGGAUACAAUGUAGACAUGGAGUAUAAUGAAGAAUCAACGAUUUUCUUGUUAUGGCUAAGAUGCUGGUCUCAACGGAUGUCUUCUACAAGAAAGAAAGACCACUCUUACAUUUUCUUUACUGGUUCAGUUUUUCCUUUUAGCAUUGGUUGGGUAAGAAUGUGGGAUUCUUAAAUCCUUUGAAUUUUCAUUUCUCUAAUAUCUUCAUUUUCUCAUAUUUUGUUGUGUUUUUGGCUCUACCAGAAAAUAGGUUUUCAUUUGUUAUGGGAUUUUAACGAUUGUGGCCCAGUUGGACUGAUUUAAUGUUUAUUACCUGCCAUGUCAAAUUUCUGUCCAACACCUGGCACAUUCCGUUCAUUGAAGUUGACAAAAAUUAAAUGGGUGAUAGAUGUGUAAGUAUUUGGAGAGAUGAGCGAGCAACGGGUUAUAUUUUAUAGUUCAAUGAGCAAGUAGUAAUGUAAAUUGAAGUUGAGUGAGCAUUGAUUAAAUUUACUCCCCAAAAUUCGGUUAUCUAAAAAUCCAUUCGGGGAUUAGUUGAAUCCUUUGGACAUAUAUUUAAGAAAUAUAAUUAAAAAACUUGAAGAAUUUUGACGAUAUGAAUUUUGUGAUUUCUUUUCAUAGAUUACCAAAUUAUUUAUUUUUGGUAUGACUGAUAUUAAUUAAGAUGAUGUUAGAGUAUAUGGUUUUUGGACAAGUUAGUGGUUGUUUGGAAGAUUAUUUUUAGUAAUUCAAGGAAG